UACGGAGGGUGCGAGCGUUGUCCGGAAUCAUUGGGCGUAAAGGGCGCGUAGGUGGCCCGGUCAGUUCGUGGUGAAAGCGCGGGGCUCAACCCUGCGUCGGCCAUGAAUACUGCCGCGGCUGGAGCACUGUAGAGGCAGGCGGAAUUCCGGGUGUAGCGGUGGAAUGCGUAGAGAUCCGGAAGAACACCGGUGGCGAAGGCGGCCUGCUGGGCCAGUUGCUGACACUGAGGCGCGACAGCGUGGGGAGCAAACAGG
rnacentral:rRNA from 1 species